GCUCUGUGAUGAAGCCCAUGCGUGUCAUCUGAGCCUGGCUUUCCUCUUAUAGCCCAGGUAGUGUUCUACUUCCCAGGGCCAUCAUGUUGGGGGAAGUCAUGGGCAAAGGAUCAGUUUUUAAAUUCUGAGAGC
ensembl:snoRNA small nucleolar RNA, C/D box 10